UACGUAGGGUGCAAGCGUUGUCCGGAAUUAUUGGGCGUAAAGAGCUCGUAGGCGGUUCGGUAAGUCGGGUGUGAAAACUCUGGGCUCAACCCAGAGCCGCCACCUGAUACUGCUGUGACUAGAGUGCGGUAGGGGAGCGGGGAAUUCCUGGUGUAGCGGUGAAAUGCGCAGAUAUCAGGAGGAACACCAGUGGCGAAGGCGCCGCUCUGGGCCGUGACUGACGCUGAGGAGCGAAAGCGUGGGUAGCAAACAGG
rnacentral:rRNA from 1 species